UGGGGAAUAUUGCACAAUGGGCGCAAGCCUGAUGCAGCCAUGCCGCGUGUAUGAAGAAGGCCUUCGGGUUGUAAAGUACUUUCAGCGGGGAGGAAGGUGUUGUGGUUAAUAACCACAGCAAUUGACGUUACCCGCAGAAGAAGCACCGGCUAACUCCGUGCCAGCAGCCGCGGUAAUACGGAGGGUGCAAGCGUUAAUCGGAAUUACUGGGCGUAAAGCGCACGCAGGCGGUCUGACAAGUCGGAUGUGAAAUCCCCGGGCUCAACCGGGGAACUGCAUCCGAAACUGGCAGGCUUGAGUCUUGUAGAGGGGGGUAGAAUUCCAGGUGUAGCGGUGAAAUGCGUAGAGAUCUGGAGGAAUACCGGUGGCGAAGGCGGCCCCCUGGACAAAGACUGACGCUCAGGUGCGAAAGCGUGGGGAGCAAACA
rnacentral:rRNA from 1 species